rnacentral:rRNA from 1 species
GUUUAUUUGUAGUACCUUUAUUACAUGGACAACCGUGGUAAUUCUAGAGCUAAUACAUGCUAAAAACCCCGCUUCAUCGGGGUGUAUUUAUUAGAUUAAAAACCAAUGCCCUUCGGGGCUCAGUGGUGAAUCAUGAUAACUUCUCGGAUCGCACGGCCUUGCGCUGGCGAUGGUUCAUUCAAAUUUCUGCCCUAUCAACUUUCGAUGGCUGGGUAUUGGCCAGCCAUGGUGACAAACGGGUAACGGAGGGUUAGGGCUCGACCCCGGAGAAUCCGCCUGAGAAAUAUAUUAAAGUUGUUGAGGUUAAAAAGCUCGUAGUUGAACCUUGGUCCUGGCUGGCCGGUCCGCCUCACCGCGUGCACUGGUCCGGCCGGGGCUUUCCCUCUGGGGAGCCGCAUGCCCUUUACUGGGUGUGUCGGGGAACCAGGACGUUUACUCUGAACAAAUUAGAUCGCUUCAAGAAGGCCUAUGCUCGAAUAGUCUAGCAUGGAAUAAUGGAAUAGGAUGUGUGGUUCUAUUUUGUUGGUUUCUAGGACCGCCGUAAUGAUUAAUAGGGACAGUCGGGGGCAUCAGUAUUCAAUUGUCAGAGGUGAAAUUCUUGGAUUUAUUGAAGACUAACUACUGCGAAAGCAUUUGCCAAGGAUGUUUUCAUUAAUCAGGAACGAAAGUCAGGGGAUCGAAGACGAUCAGAUACCGUCGUAGUCUUGACCAUAAACUAUGCCGAUUAGGGAU